ensembl:lncRNA
CGGAGAACUGAGGCAGGUGUCGCCCUUCCUAGGUACUGCCAAGCUGCCAUCUCUCUUCCGCUGUGACUGCUUCCCCAGGAGGGAGGCUGCCUGGCCCACCUUGGUUCAGUAUGUUUGUGAAUAUUUGAUUUUCGCAGAAGACAAAAGAGGGUAAGAGCUCUGGAAUUCAAUAGAAGGUCAGAAGAGCCAUCUUUUGCCUGCUGCGGCUUCCUUUUAGACCCUGACAUCUGGCACCCAUUACCGGGACAAAUUAGAGCAAUUCCAAGCAGCCGCAGAAGGGGAAGACUUCCUGUUUUCAGGCCGCGCAGUUAUCAAUGCGAACACAGGAACUGAGGAUUAGAACAAUGCAGCCUUAGAAACAGAUUUGCGGCACUGGCUUUGCCGGCUAAAAGCAUAGCUCCUGCUGUUUAGUGCCUGGAGAAUCCCAGGGACAGAGGAACCUGGUGGGCUGCCUUCUAUGGGGUCGCACAGAGUUGGACACGACUGAAGCGACUUAGCAGCAGCAGCAGCAGGCAGUCUCUGACUUGCAACCCCUUUUAUUUUCUGAUGCAACGCGACAUCAUCAAUUCCUUUUCCCGAUGGCAGCCAUCCACAAUGCCCGUCUGUGGAAGGGCACGGCAGCACCGUCAAUGUCUGCCCAGUUAGCAGCGGUCAUUCUCUCAGGGCGCUCCGAUUCAUUCCAGCCUCUCCCCAACCUCCUCAAAGCGCUGGUCUCUACUGUCUCCGCCGUUCUCUCUCUUUUGGAAUGCCAUCUAGUCAGACUCAUAUAGUAUACAGUCUUUUCAAAUUGGUUGCUUUCACUUAGUAAUAUGCAUUUAAGAUUUUUCCAUGUCCUUUCACUGUUUGAUAGCUCAUUUAUUUGUAUUAAU